AAAUGCCAACCAACCUAUCCUUAUCCACUCAAGGUGUGAGAAGAGAAGGGGCGUGGGUUCUUUGUGCAUGGAGAAUAUACACGAGAAACUUUUUCUUGUGUAGAGAAUGGGGCACAUAAAAGGAUAAGGUGGCGCAUGGAUUAGUUGCCCAUUCAAAUUCAAACAUUAUUUGAAUUUGAAUGGCCAACCAACCUUAUCAUUAUCCACACAAGUGGUGCACAAGGGAGGGCA
rnacentral:lncRNA from 1 species